rnacentral:tRNA from 1 species
GAUCUCGACGGGCUUCUGGGUGAUGUGGACCCGGUCCUUGCGGGGCUGGGAGGCUAUGAAGUGGCCGGGCAGGUAGAGGUCCCGGUCCUUUUCGAGGCUGCC